rnacentral:rRNA from 1 species
AACGAACGCUGGCGGCAUGCCUAACACAUGCAAGUCGAACGAGAUCUUCGGGUCUAGUGGCGCACGGGUGCGUAACGCGUGGGAAUCUGCCCUUUGGUUCGGAAUAACAGUUGGAAACGACUGCUAAUACCGGAUGAUUACGACAGUCCAAAGAUUUAUCGCCAGAUGAUGAGCGCGCGUAGGAUUAGCUAGUUGGUGUGGUAAAGGCGCCCCAAGGGGACGAUCCUUAGCUGGUCUGAGAGGAUGAUCAGUCACACUGGGACUGAGACACGGCCCAGACUCCUACGGGAGGCAGCAGUGGGGAAUAUUGGACAAUGGGCGAAAGCCUGAUCCAGCAAUGCCGCGUGAGUGAUGAAGGCCUUAGGGUUGUAAAGCUCUUUUACCCGGGAUGAUAAUGACAGUACCGGGAGAAUAAGCUCCGGCUAACUCCGUGCCAGCCGCCGCAGUAAGAC